rnacentral:rRNA from 1 species
GAUGAACGCUGGCGGCGUGCCUAUACAUGCAAGUCGAGCGAACAGAUAAGGAGCUUGCUCCUUUGACGUUAGCGGCGGACGGGUGAGUAACACGUGGGUAACCUACCUAUAAGACUGGGAUAACUUCGGGAAACCGGAGCUAAUACCGGAUAACAUUUGGAACCGCAUGGUUCUAAUGUGAAAGAUGGUUUUGCUAUCACUUAUAGAUGGACCCGCGCCGUAUUAGCUAGUUGGUAAGGUAACGGCUUACCAAGGCGACGAUACGUAGCCGACCUGAGAGGGUGAUCGGCCACACUGGAACUGAGACACGGCCCAGACUCCUACGGGAGGCAGCAGUAGGGAAUCUUCCGCAAUGGGCGAAAGCCUGACGGAGCAACGCCGCGUGAGUGAUGAAGGGUCUCGGCUCGUAAAACUCUGUUAUUAGGGAAGAACAAACGUGUAAGUAACUGUGCAUGUCUUGACGGUACCUAAUCAGAAAGCCACGGCUAACUACGUGCCAGCAGCCGCCGUAA